rnacentral:rRNA from 1 species
GAUGAACGCUAGCGGCAGGCUUAAUACAUGCAAGUUGAGGGGCAGCAUGAUAUACGCGAGUAUAUUGAUGGCGACCGGCGGACGGGUGAGUAAUAGGUAGGAGACCUACCUCAUACAGGGGGAUAGCAUAGAGAAAUCUGUGGUAAUACCCCAUGAGGUUAUAUGAAUAGAGGCAUAUAAUCAAAGCAUAAGCGAUUAUGCGGUAUGAGAGGGGCCUACUGACCAUUAGCUAGUUGGUGAGGUAAGGGCUCACCAAGGCGAAGAUGGUUAGGGGUUUUAGAGAGAGACCCCCCACAUUGGAACUGAGAGACGGUCCAGACUCCUACGGGAGGCAGCAGUAGGGAAUAUUGGGCAAUGGGCGAAAGCCUGACCCAGCCAUGCCGCGUGAAGGAGACAGCCUUAUGGGUUGUAAACUUCUUUACUACGCGAAUAGAGGUUAGUACGAGAUACUAAUAGGAAGGUAGUGUAGUAAAAGCACCGGCUAACU